UCCUACGGGGGGCAGCAGUAGGGAAUCUUCCACAAUGGACGAAAGUCUGAUGGAGCAACGCCGCGUGAGUGAAGAAGGGUUUCGGCUCGUAAAGCUCUGUUGGUAGUGAAGAAAGAUAGAGGUAGUAACUGGCCUUUAUUUGACGGUAAUUACUUAGAAAGUCACGGCUGACUACGUGCCAGCAGCCGCGGUAAUACGUAGGUGGCAAGCGUUGUCCGGAUUUAUUGGGCGUAAAGGGAGUGCAGGCGGCUUGGCAAGUCUGAUGUGAAAGGGUGGGGGUCAACCCCAGG
rnacentral:rRNA from 1 species